AACACCCCAGGGGGGGGGCCCUUGGGGGUGCUGAGCAAGGUCUGAAGGGGCUGGUUCCCCGGCCCCGUCUCCCCACCCCACCCCACCCCAGGGACAAAGCAGGGGAGCGCGGUGCAGGGCGGAGCCGUAAUGUGGGCGGGGCCCCAGGUAGCCCUGCGGGGCGGAGCCGUGGUGUGGGCGGGGCCCCCAGGUAGUACCCCAGGGCAGGUGACCCUCACUACCCCUUCAGGAAGGCCGCGUGGGCAGAAGCUGCCCGGGUGGGCGUCCACACCCCGCUCUUCCAUAGCGAUGCUGCAGUAAUAGGAGGGCUUGUGGGACAGAGGCGGCACCCGGAAGCUUCCUGGGGCUGAGGCCUGGGGAGGCUGUGAGCCCCGCUCUGGCCCCUCCCUGUUUUUCUCUAGUAGCUCAUUCUUCUUCCGGAAGGAUCAAAGCCCGGACAGAAGGGUUUUGUAUACACUGCGGCUUCACGCUGGGUGUGGACUUGGGACUUGAACACACCACCCAACACAGAACUUGGACUUGACCUCAUCAAGAUUGGGAUGCUUAACUGACCAGCCACCCAGGAGCCCCUGCAUAAUGCUUUUAAAAGUUCAUGUUGUAACACGUGUCAGAACGUAAUUCCUCUUCUAUUUUAUUGUCUUUUAUUUACUUUAAAUUGUGACAUAACACACAUAAAAUUUACCAUCUUAAAAGUUGUAAGUACAUUAGCAUUGUGCACUCAA